AAACUUGAAAGGGCCUUGGGCCGUGGAAGGGAUGGAGGGACUGAGAAUUGGAGAAUCCGGAUGGAUGGAUGAAUAGGAGAUGGGAGGACAGGGUGCCGUAGAAACUGCACUGGUGUAAGAAUCAGAAGGAGCUAUAAUUCCUUCAACGAGUAGAGAAAAGCCGAGGGAACAAGUGCAAAGAUCCUGAGGUGAGAACCAGCUUGCCAUUUUCAGGGAAUAGACUGAAGGCCCCAGGCUAGAAUAGAGUGAAUGAGAACGUGGUAGGAGGUGAGGUCGUGAUGGGCAAGGGCAAGGGCAAGGCUGUCACCCUGGGUAACAUGGAUCUUGAGAGGCUUUAACAACGUCACAGCUAAGCUUUUGAGCUCUGGAGCCAGUUGAGCUGGGUUCGAAUCCCAGCUAUGCCCAGCUAUGGGGUCUUGGGUAGACCAGUUAACCUUUCUGGCCUUAGUUUCCUCAUUUGGAAGAUGGAGAUACUUGUUGGUAUACCUCCCUUGUAGUGUUUUUCUGAGGAUUAAGUGAGCUUGCCGUAGUAAAGAGCUCUAGAACUGUGCCUGUUAUGUGGUAAGCACUGUAUAUGAAUUGUCUGUUGUUACUGUUGCUCUGUUUCUGCCUGUCUGUUUGUCCCCUUGUAACUGUGAUGGUCUCUUGGUUUCCAUCUUUUGCCCUGUAUCAUUCUCUCCAUAUGGGUUUCCCUGAUUUUGGCUCCAUCUGCUCAGACUUCCUCUUCAAAUUCCUGGUGAUUGGCAGUGCAGGAACUGGCAAAUCAUGUCUCCUUCAUCAGUUCAUUGAGAAUAAGUUCAAACAGGACUCCAACCACACAAUCGGCGUGGAGUUUGGAUCUCGGGUAGUCAACGUGGGUGGGAAGACUGUGAAGCUCCAGAUUUGGGACACAGCCGGCCAAGAGCGGUUUCGGUCGGUGACACGGAGUUACUACCGAGGGGCGGCUGGAGCCCUGCUGGUGUACGACAUCACCAGCCGGGAGACAUACAACUCGUUGGCUGCCUGGCUGACGGACGCCCGCACGCUGGCUAGCCCCAACAUCGUGGUCAUCCUCUGUGGCAACAAGAAAGACCUGGACCCUGAGCGUGAGGUCACUUUCCUGGAGGCCUCCCGCUUUGCCCAGGAGAAUGAGCUAAUGUUCCUGGAGACUAGUGCCCUCACGGGUGAGAACGUGGAAGAGGCUUUCCUGAAGUGUGCCCGCACCAUCCUGAACAAGAUCGACUCAGGUGAGCUGGACCCCGAGAGGAUGGGCUCAGGCAUUCAGUACGGGGAUGCUUCCCUCCGCCAGCUGCGGCAGCCUCGGAGUGCCCAGGCCGUGGCCCCUCAGCCCUGUGGCUGCUGAGACAUGUGGAGCCAGGUGGGAGCCCAGUGGCCAGGGCCCACCAAACUGAUUUCCCAACCCACUAAUGCAGUGCUGCACACUGAAAUCACCUGGAGAGCUUUAAAAGAGUCUGAUGCCUGGGCCUCACCCCAGAGAUUCUGAAGGGAUUUCCGGAUUUCUAGAAGCUCCCAGCUCACCUGUUCUCCAGGACCAGCCCUGCCCUUCUGGCCGGGGCCCAGACCCAGGCCCUGGGAGGCCGAGCCCCUCACCUGUCCUGGCCCCAGAGAAGCUGCCCCGCCACCUGUUCCCCUUCCCUGGCCUGGUGGGGCCUGGCUGAGGGGCAAGACUGAGCCACGGGGGAAGGGGGAAUCCGUACCUGCUGCUGCUUCCUCUGUCUUGGCUAACCCCUGUCCCCCCGGAACCCCUAACCAUACUCGAAGAGUUCCCAAAGCCUGAGACCUGGGCAUUUGGCCCCAGCUCCCCGCCAUUGCGAGUACGUGUUAUUUAUUGCCUGGAGGCCUGUCCAGUCCCCACUCCACCCCCAUAAAGCAUUGUUUACACCUG